UCUUGCUUCUUCCCUCCCUUCUUCCUUCCUUCUCUUCCUUCUUCUGCCCCCCUCCCCUUUGUACAGUCCUCAGGAACCUCAGGAGGGCAUUCUGUGAUCCCCUAGCGUGAGGGAGUUCACCCCUGUGAAGUCUCUGUAAGGUGCAUCUCUGUGAGGCAGUCAGAGGCAUGUGUGGCCUGUCACCUGGACCUCCUCGCCCUGUCCCAUUUCAGGGAUCUCAGAAACUGUCAGCCGCGGUCAGAUGGGAACAAGAAUCUGACUCCACAGACAUAUAUAGCCCUCCAGCUGUGUGCCAAGAAACGCACCUAAAUCUGGGAGAGUGUAACACAGGAGAAGAAAAAACUUAUUGCCCAGGAGCCCCCGCCUAGGGAGAGAGACCGAAUUUCAUCCGAAGGUGGUGAAAUGCCGAAAUGCUACAAGGGAGAGUCUCCACGAGCCGCACGAGGAAACAAGUGGCACACCUGUAUACCCGUUUGCCAGCCCUUCCUCUUCGAAAUGCAGGCUAAGUCUGAGUUAGAAAUCAGAGCCUCCCUUGAGUUUUAUUGCUUUCAGGACUUUUACAAUUGCUUUUCUAUUGUCCCAAUAAUACAUUUACGUUUU